GAUGAACGCUGGCGGCGUGCCUAAUACAUGCAAGUCGAGCGAAGCGGGGACGGGGGAGUAACACGUGGAUAACCUCCUAUAAGACUGGGAUAACUUAGGGGAACCGGAGCUAAACCGGAUAAUUAUAGAUGGAUCCGCGCUGCAUUAGCUAGUUGGUAAGGUAACGGAUUACAAAGGCAACGAGGCCUAGCCGACCUGAGAGGUGGAUCGGCCACACUGGAACUGAGACACGGUCCAGACUCCUACGGGAGGCAGCAGUAGGGAAUCUUCCGCAAUGGGCGAAAGCCUGACGGAGCAACGCCGCGUGAGUGAUGAAGGUCUUCGGAUCGUAAAACUCUGUUAUUAGGGAAGCGGUACCUAAUCAGAAAGCCACGGCUAACUACGUGCCAGCAGCCGCGGUAAUUC
rnacentral:rRNA from 1 species